GGCACAGAGAUUGGAAGUAACUUACCCAGGGUCACCCAGCUGGGAAGAGCACACGUCUGUUUCUCCCUCAGGCCCUGGAAGCGUGUGCAGCACCGGUGGGCUGCUGGGCUAGAGCAGGUGCAGGGCAUCUUUCAGCUAAUGAAGUAUUUAAGUUCUGCCCUCUUGACCCUUCUCCUCGGGGCCCAGCAGCCCACAGGGUCCUCCCAUUAAGCAGUGGUAGUGGAGGGGGACGUGGUAGGUAUGUUUUGGGCACAGGUGCAGCCAUCAAAAUCCCCUUUCCUUACAGGUGUUGGCCUUUCCAGGUCAGUAAGUUCAGCUCAUUAUCCCUAAAACAGAGGCAAAGGCAGGAGGUGAGAGCUGUGCCUGCAUCCUGGCCCCUCUGACCCCAGCCACAGCAUACACAUUUCUUUUGGUAGGCUCUGGGAUGGGGGUGGCCACAAGCAUCAGUGAGCUGGCCUCAGGAAUGUGUCAGGUGUAGCAACCACAGCAGAGGGACAGGGUGUCUGGUUAACAUUCCAACUCUUCCAGGAAGCCUUCCUUGACUUCUCCAGAGCAGAUGGAAUACUCCUUCUUGGAAAGUCACACAGGCCAUCCACUGAGCCCCUAGUUGGGAACACAGUCUCCCUGGUCCCAAACCCCAGCUCUGUCAUUUACUAGAUGUGUGACUUCGGGCAAUUUACUUCUCUCUACUUCAUUCCUUAACUUAUAAUCUGAAUACAGGGAAAACGCCUAAGGCACAAAGCUGUUGUGCUAAGUACACAAGUCAAGAUACACAAAGUGCUUAGAACAAGCCCUGGACAAGAGGCUGCUGUUAUCAUCAUAGAACUUUUUUGUGCGGAAAAGUGUGCAUAACCUAAAAUUUACCAUUUUGGACAUUCUUAAGUGUACAGUUCAGUGGCAUCAACUACAUUCAUACCAUUGGGCACCCAUUGCUACUAUCCAUCUCCAGAACCUCUUCACCAACUCAGACUGAAACCCUGUUUCAUGAAACAAUAACUCUCCACUACCCCCUUUCCCCAGCCCCUGGGACUCUCUAUUCUACUUUCUGUCUCCAAUCAUAACUUUGGAUAUAAUAUUUUAUUUUCCUCACUGAACAAAUAUUGAUUGAACACUUACUUUGCACCUGGAAUUAAAGUAGAAUCUGAGGACACAGAGGUCAUCAGGAUCAGCAGAAUCCAUAUCUUCAUGGAGGUUUUACUCUAGUAGAUUGAGGCUGGCAAUGAGCAAAUGAAUACACAGGACAAUCUCAGUUGAGAUGCAGGCUUUUGUUGAAAAAAAAAUUAUCCAGAACUUGGAAAUAGGCAAACGAGAGUACAGUACAUCCUUCCAGAGUUAUAGUACAGAUUAGUGAUACUGCCCAAAGAUGAGUUAAUGCUCCCAGAGAAUGUACCUGUGUUUGACCUACCUGCUGACUGUUUGAUUAGAAGGCAGACACUGAGUGAUACAUGUUAACUUAUAGAUUUAUACCCAGUAGAAAAGAUUAUCACAAAGAUUAUGUUUUUAUUAUCCUGUAGGACAGUAUCCAUGUUCGUAUCUAACCUAGAAAUCUAACAGUAAAAGAGAGCCCAGAAAUGAACCCACAUUUACAUGUGCAAUUAAUCUAUGACAAAGGAGGCAAGAAUAUAUGAUGGAGGAAAAGACAGACUCUUCAGUAAGCAGUGCUGGGAAAACUGAAUAGCUAUCCUGCCAAAGAAUCAAACUGGACUAUUUUCUCACACCAUAUACAAAAAUUCAAAAUGGAUUAAAGACUUAAAAGGUAAGACCUGAAACCAUAACACUUCUAGAAGAAAACAUAGGCAGUACACUCCUUGCAUCAGUAUUAGCAAUUUUUUUUUUCAGAUCUGCCUCCCCAGGAAAGAGAAACAAAAGCAAAAAUAAGUGAAUGAGAUGACACCAAACUAAAUAGCUUUUGCACAGAAAAGGAAGCUAUCAACAAAACGAAAAGGCUGCCUAUGGAAUGAGAGAAGAAAAUUUCAAACAAUAUACUAGAUAAGGGGUUAAUAUCCAAAAUAAACAAUGAGCUCAUAGAACUCAACAUCCCAAAACUCAAAUAACUUGAUUAAAAAAUAGGCAGAGGGUCUGAAUAGACAUUUUUCCAAAGAAGACAUAUAGAUG
rnacentral:lncRNA from 1 species